rnacentral:rRNA from 1 species
ACUCAAAGGAAUUGACGGGGGCCCGCACAAGCGGUGGAGCAUGUGGUUUAAUUCGAAGCAACGCGAAGAACCUUACCAAGGCUUGACAUCUCCCUGACCGGUGCAGAGAUGCGCCUUUUCUACGGAACAGGGAUGACAGGUGGUGCAUGGUUGUCGUCAGCUCGUGUCGUGAGAUGUUGGGUUAAGUCCCGCAACGAGCGCAACCCUUAUCUUUAGUAGCCAUCGGUUCGGCCGGGUACACUAGAGAGACUGCCGUGGCAACGCGGAGGAAGGUGGGGACGACGUCAAAUCAUCAUGCCCCUUAUGUCUUGGGCGACACACGUGCUACAAUGGGCGAUACAAAGUGAAGCAAUGCCGCGAGGCUGAGCAAACCACAAAAAAACGCCCUCAGUUCGGAUUGUAGUCUGCAACCCGACUACAUGAAGUUGGAAUCGCUAGUAAUCGCAAAUCAGCAUGUUGCGGUGAAUACGUUCCCGGGCCUUGUACACACCGCCCGU